rnacentral:rRNA from 1 species
UAGGGAAUUUUGCGCAAUGGGGGAAACCCUGACGCAGCAACGCCGCGUGAUUGAUGAAGCCCUUCGGGGUGUAAAGAUCUGUCAGUGGGGACGAAACCUGACGGUACCCACAGAGGAAGCACCGGCUAACUCCGUGCCAGCAGCCGCGGUAAUACGGGGGGUGCAAGCGUUGUCCGGAAUCAUUGGGCGUAAAGAGUUCGUAGGUGGCACGUUAAGUCUGGUGUUAAAGGCGGAAGCUCAACUUCCGUAGGGCACUGGAUACUGGCGAGCUUGAAUGCGGUAGAGGUAAAGGGAAUUCCUGGU